GACAGAGGGUGCAAACGUUGUUCGGAAUUACUGGGCGUAAAGGGCGCGUAGGCGGCUAGAUGUGUCAAAGGUGAAAUCCCUCGGCUCAACUGAGGAACUGCCUUUGAAACUGUCUGGCUUGAGGCCGGGAGAGGGUAGCGGAAUUCCCAGUGUAGCGGUGAAAUGCGUAGAUAUUGGGAGGAACACCAGUGGCGAAGGCGGCUACCUGGACCGGUUCUGACGCUGAGGCGCGAAAGCGUGGGUAGCAAACAGG
rnacentral:rRNA from 1 species